AUUCAGCUGACGAGUCCCAAAUAGGACGAAACACACGUCCUGGAU
rfam:Schistosoma rodhaini strain Burundi genome assembly, scaffold: SROB_scaffold0006445